rnacentral:rRNA from 1 species
GACGAACGCUGGCGGCGUGCUUAACACAUGCAAGUCGAACGAAGUGGCGAACGGGUGAGUAAUACGUGGGUAACCUGCCCUCCUUUUUGGGAUAAGCCUUGGAAACGGGGUCUAAUACCUAAUAAAGGGGGAUGGGCGCGCGGCCUAUCAGCUUGUUGGUGGGGGGAUGGCCUACCAAGGCGGUGAAGGGUAGCCGGCCUGAGAGGGUGACCGGCCUCGUGGGGACUCAGAUGCGGCCCAGAGUCGUACGGGAGGAGGCAGUGGGGGAUAUUACACAAUGGACGACAGACUGAUGCAACGACGCCGAGUGGGGGAUGAAGGCUUGCGGGUUGUAAACCUCUUUCGCUAUCGAACAGGUAGGUGAAGAAGAAGCGCCGGCUAACUACGUGCCAGCAGCCGCGGUAAUUC